rnacentral:tRNA from 1 species
GUGCGCCCAAGAGGAGUCGAACCUCUAACCGCUUGAUUCGUAGUCAAGUACUCUAUCCAGUUGAGCUAUGGGCGC